rnacentral:rRNA from 1 species
CAGUCGCCGCGGUAAUACGUAGGUGGCAAGCGUUAUCCUGAAUGAUUCGGCGUAAAGCGUCUGUAGGUGGCUUUUCAAGUCCGCCAUCAAAUCCUAGGGCUCAACCUGGGGACUGCAUUUGAUACGUGACGACUUGAGUGGAGAGGGUCGUGGAAUUUCCAGUGUAGAGGUGAAAUUCGUAGAUAUUGGAAAGAACACCGGUGGCGAAGGCGGCGACCUGGCCUUUAACUGACGCUGAGGCGCGAAAGCGUGGGGAGCAAACAGGAUUAGAUACCCCGGUAGUCCCUGUCUCUUAUACACA